rnacentral:ncRNA from 2 species
GAACUGAAGAGUUUGAUCAUGGCUCAGAUUGAACGCUGGCGGCAGGCCUAACACAUGCAAGUCGAGCGGAUGAAGGGAGCUUGCUCCUGGA